CGCUGGCGGCGUGCCUAAUACAUGCAAGUAGAACGCUGAAGAGAGGAGCUUGCUCUUCUUGGAUGAGUUGCGAACGGGUGAGUAACGCGUAGGUAACCUGCCUUGUAGCGGGGGAUAACUAUUGGAAACGAUAGCUAAUACCGCAUAACAAUAGGUGACACAUGUCAUUUAUUUGAAAGGGGCAAUUGCUCCACUACAAGAUGGACCUGCGUUGUAUUAGCUAGUAGGUGAGGUAACGGCUCACCUAGGCGACGAUACAUAGCCGACUUGAGAGGGUGAUCGGCCACACUGGGACUGAGACACGGCCCAGACUCCUACGGGAGGCAGCAGUAGGGAAUCUUCGGCAAUGGGGGCAACCCUGACCGAGCAACGCCGCGUGAGUGAAGAAGGUUUUCGGAUCGUAAAGCUCUGUUGUAAGUCAAGAACGAGUGUGAGAGUGGAAAGUUCACACUGUGACGGUAGCUUACCAGAAAGGGACGGCUAACUACGUGCCAGCAGCCGCGGUAAUACGUAGGUCCCGAGCGUUGUCCGGAUUUAUUGGGCGUAAAGCGAGCGCAGGCGGUUUGAUAAGUCUGAAGUUAAAGGCUGUGGCUCAACCAUAGUUCGCUUUGGAAACUGUCAAACUUGAGUGCAGAAGGGGAGAGUGGAAUUCCAUGUGUAGCGGUGAAAUGCGUAGAUAUAUGGAGGAACACCGGUGGCGAAAGCGGCUCUCUGGUCUGUAACUGACGCUGAGGCUCGAAAGCGUGGGGAGCGAACAGGAUUAGAUACCCUGGUAGUCCACGCCGUAAACGAUGAGUGCUAGGUGUUGGAUCCUUUCCGGGAUUCAGUGCCGCAGCUAACGCAUUAAGCACUCCGCCUGGGGAGUACGACCGCAAGGUUGAAACUCAAAGGAAUUGACGGGGGCCCGCACAAGCGGUGGAGCAUGUGGUUUAAUUCGAAGCAACGCGAAGAACCUUACCAGGUCUUGACAUCCCGAUGCUAUUUCUAGAGAUAGAAAGUUACUUCGGUACAUCGGUGACAGGUGGUGCAUGGUUGUCGUCAGCUCGUGUCGUGAGAUGUUGGGUUAAGCCCCGCAACGAGCGCAACCCCUAUUGUUAGUUGCCAUCAUUCAGUUGGGCACUCUAGCGAGACUGCCGGUAAUAAACCGGAGGAAGGUGGGGAUGACGUCAAAUCAUCAUGCCCCUUAUGACCUGGGCUACACACGUGCUACAAUGGUUGGUACAACGAGUUGCGAGUCGGUGACGGCAAGCUAAUCUCUUAAAGCCAAUCUCAGUUCGGAUUGUAGGCUGCAACUCGCCUACAUGAAGUCGGAAUCGCUAGUAAUCGCGGAUCAGCACGCCGCGGUGAAUACGUUCCCGGGCCUUGUACACACCGCCCGUCACACCACGAGAGUUUGUAACACCCGAAGUCGGUGAGGUAACCUUUUGGAGCCAGCCGCCUAAGGUGGGAUAGAUGAUUG
rnacentral:rRNA from 1 species